rnacentral:rRNA from 1 species
GGCGUCCGAGUUGUAAUUUGCAGAGGGCGCUUUGGCAUUGGCAGCGGUCCAAGUUCCUUGGAACAGGACGUCACAGAGGGUGAGAAUCCCGUACGUGGUCGCUAGCCUUUAUUGUGUAAAGCCCCUUCGACGAGUCGAGUUGUUUGGGAAUGCAGCUCUAAAUGGGAGGUAAAUUUCUUCUAAAGCUAAAUACUGGCCAGAGACCGAUAGCGCACAAGUAGAGUGAUCGAAAGAUGAAAAGCACUUUGGAAAGAGAGUUAAAAAGCACGUGAAAUUGUUGAAAGGGAAGCGCUUGCAGCCAGACUUGCCUGUAGUUGCUCAUCCGGGUUUUUACCCGGUGCACUCUUCUACGGGCAGGCCAGCAUCAGUUUGGGCGGUUGGAUAAAGGUCUCUGUCAUGUACCUCCUCUCGGGGAGAUCUUAUAGGGGAGACGACAUGCAACCAGCCUGGACUGAGGUCCGCGCAUCUGCUAGGAUGCUGGCGUAAUGGCUGUAAGCGGCCCGUCUUGAAACACGGACCAAGGAGUCUAACAUCUAUGCGAGUGUUUGGGUGUCAAGCCCGAACGCGUAAUGAAAGUGAACGGAGGUGGGAACCUUUCGGGGUGCACCAUCGACCGAUCCUGAUGUCUUCGGAUGGAUUUGAGUAAGAGCAUAGCUGUUGGGACCCGAAAGAUGGUGAACUAUGCUUGAAUAGGGUGAAGCCAGAGGAAACUCUGGUGGAGGCUCGCAGCGGUUCUGACGUGCAAAUCGAUCGUCAAAUUUGGGCAUAGGGGCGAAAGACUAAUCGAACUAUCUAGUAGCUGGUUCCUGCCGAAGUUUCCCUCAGGAUAGCAGUAACGUUUUCAGUUUUAUGAGGUAAAGCGAAUGAUUAGAGGCCUGGGGGUUGAAACAACCUU